UGCCCCAGUCGAUUGCCAAUAAAAGUCAGUGCCUGGGACUGUCCGUUGCACCGGCAUUGGUCGCCCUGGCACUCUGCUUUCUUUCUCUUACUUCUGUCUCAGUGUAUUCUUUUCUCAGGCCUGCCCUGCACACUGAACAGGUGGGGACUGGAGCCUGACUACAGGAGUCUCCAACAGAAAAAUAUUCCUGUGAGUAUAUAUACCACACUUUCCCUCUCUAUUCAUCUGCUGAUGGACACCUAGGUUGGUUCCAUAUAUCAGAUAUUGUGAAUAGUGCUGCCACAAACCUAAGAGUAUAGAUGCCUUCUCAACAUAUCCUUUCAUUCCCUUUGGCUAAGUACCCAGGUGUAGACUUGGGUCAGACAGUUGUAUUUUCAAUUUUUUGAGGAAAUUCCAGACUGUUUUCUAUAACAACUGUACAUCAAAGCACAACAUGUGGUCUACAUAGAUGAUCUAUCUACAUGAUGGCUAUUAUUCAGCACAGAAAAGGAAGGUGAUUCUGACACAUGCUGUGUCAUGAGGACAGGAACUAAGUGAAACAAACCAUCAUAAAAGCACAAAUACUGCAUAAUUCUACAUAUGUGAGGUGUCUGGAAUAGUCACGUUCAUAGACAGAACUAGAGUACAGGUUACCAGGAGGUAGGAGGGGAGGAAAAUGGGGAGUUAAUGUUUAAUAAGUACAGAGUUUCUGUUUGGGAUGAUGAAAAAGUUCUGGAAAUGGAUAAUAGUGAUGAUUAUGCAACAUUGUGAAUGUACUUUAUUGUCAUUGAACUGCGCACUUAAAAUCAUUAAAAUAUCACAUUUCAUUAUGUAUAUUUUGCCACAAUAAAAAAGAAUCAUAAAGGAAGAAAGGAAGGGAGGAAGCAGAAAGGGAGGAAGGAAGUCCCAAACUACAGUCUGGUGCCCAGUCUGCUCACCUAAGCCACUGUUAUUUCUAUAAGCUCUGUUACUUCCGAGAUGGCUCCCCCAGUGGAUGGCAGCAGAGCUAGGCUAAUUGCAUUGAAAAGGCAAAGCCCACCAGUUCCUCCACUCGCCCUAAACCUGAGGCACUGCCAGGCCCAGCGCCCCUGCCCUGCCCUUUGGCCUCCCCACUCCUUCCCUCCUGGACUCAGCUGGAGCCUCGUGGGCCAAAAGCCUCUUGCCAGCACCUCCCCCAGCCCCAGUAGUACCAACCCCUCAUGUAUGCUGCCAGGACAAAUAUUAGUUAAGUCUUAAUUCUCCCUGUUGAAAAUGGGGGAAGAGAUCCCCAUGCCCUGCUUUUCCCAGAGCUUUGACCCUGGAAAGUUGGCCAUUGUAUUAUAUCUCCUUUCCAUGAAAUGUGUCUAAAAUCUUUCUGAGUACUAGGGAGAACUUUGCCAGCUAAAGGACCAGGGACGUCCUUCUCGGGGACCUGGAACCUCUCUAGGAAAGACUCCUAGCCGACCCCUGUGAUAUGCAUUGUGUUCUGGUUCGGUGUCCACUCAAGAAUUAGAGCAUUCCCUUCUCCACUACCUUUCGCCCAGCCCUACACAGGGCAAGAUGCUGCUAUUCCCAUGACCCUGUAUCUUCGUGCAGUGGCUCCGCGCACCCACGUUCAUCCUGAGAAGACUCCGGGACACCCCAGAGCAGUGACCCCACCCACCUCACCACAUUCUGCACACCACUCUGCUUCUCCAUAAUGACCGUCAGCAGACAAAACUAUCCUGCUCCUUGUGCCGCUGGGAGACUCUGGAGAGCAUUUGGUUACAAGAACCAUCUACUCAUUGAGCCAUCUGCUUGCGCGUACCCACACCGCAAAGGCGGUCUCAUUUGCUACCAUUCUUUAAGUCACACCAAAAUGUCUUCAUUGCUUACGGAAAGCUUUUAAGGGACUGGAUCCCCUCCAGAGAACCUGGCAGUGAAGUUGAGAUGAAGAGAAGUCACAGGAUCUUGCAUUUUUUACAAACCAGCUCCCACGGCUGGUCAGAUAGGCAAACCAGGGCAUGGUGAGGACCGGGCUUCACCUGGGCUGGCCUCGCAUCACCGCUCCCUGAGCUCCCUUCCACCUUCAGAUCACAUCACAGGCCACUCAGGGACGACCACCCGUGCUCAGGCUGAGGGACUGGGCCCCUCGGCAGUUAAGGCCUGCUCCCAAAUGCACAGAAGCUCAAGACCCUUCUCCACAGCUCCCUCGUGUGGUCGCAUGUUUCCUGUUUCUCUUUUACAGUCCUCUCAUCCCGGGUUCCUGGACAGCAUUUGUUUGAUAUAAACCCUUCUGUUCAGUUUACAGUGAUCAAAGGCGGACGUAGUUCAAACAUGGAUCAGUGGAUACAGGGGGGAAACAUUAUAUCCAUAGACGGGUAUACUACUCAGCCAAAGAGGAAGGAAACACCAACAGGACUCCUUGGAUGAACCUUGGGGACACUGUGCUGAGGGAAAUAGCUAGGGUAGACAUGUUCAUAGGGAGAGAAAGUAGGAUGGGCUGCCAGGGGCUGGGUAGGGAGUGGAGAGUUAGUGUGUGUCCUGGCAGAGUUUCAGUUGGGAAACAUGGAAAAGUUCUGGAGAUGAGUGGUGAUGACGACUUCAAAGCAUUGUGCAGGUAUUGGAUGCCACAGCCCUGGACACUUAGGAACACUCCCUGGGUGUCAACGGGGGAUUCUUUCCCCAGCCCAAAUCCAAGGAUGCUCCAGUCUCUUAUUUAAAAUGGCACAGUAUUGCAUGGAACCUGCGUAUGACCUCCAGUAUAGAUUUAUGUCUGUCUCUUUUCUGUCUAUCUGCUUCUUAGUGAUGGAGAUCGAUCCCAAGGCCUGGCACAAGCUGGGCAAGAUUUUUACCACUAAGCUACACCCUUAGCCCUUCCCGUGGACUUUAAAUCAUCCCUAGAUUGUUUAUAAUACCUAAUGAAAUGUAAAUGCUAUGUAAGUAGCCAUUACAUUGUGCUCUAAAGAAAAACGUGAGAACACAUUUAGCACAAAGUUUUUCCGUAAAUAUUUUCCAUCCAGGAUUGCUGGAAACCUUGGAUGCAGAGGGCCAACUAUAAAUAUAUAAAUAUGUGAUCACUGUGUUCAGGUCAAGACUACUUCUGCUGAAGGACCAGAUUUGUCUCCAGUAAACACAGCUGGCUGCUCCUGCUCAUAAUGACAGGAGCGGAAUGGUGGAAGGAAAGGGUCCUUGGGGCUUCCUCUCCUGCAGCUGCUCCAGGGCUGCUGCCACCCCUGGGGGAGCACUUCCACACAGCACCAGGCCCAGGACUUGCUGAGGUUCUUCUUCCACCCUGACUGGAGGGCACUGUGUUUCUCCUUCCUUCCCCCAGCCCAAGUGUUAGCUCAAGUGGGCUCAAAACUUCUCCUCAGAGUCUCAGACUACAUGAUUUCCAAGUCAUGCUUAGUAUUUUUGCAUUUUAAUUUUACCAUCACUAUGAAAACGAGUAAAGUAUUUUUUAAAAAGCUGGACAUACAAGUUUGUAAAGUCACAGUGGGGAUCUUGCUCCUCCUGCACCCCAAACCAACUCCACUUGCAGGACUUGCCAGCCUGUGAACCAUGGGCUACACAUAUGGUUGUCCCUCAAGACCUCCUGCCACCCUCUUCUCCCUGGGCGACCCCUGGGAGAUUGAUAUAAGGACAGCUCGCAGGCCCCCUGGCUUCCGUGGGCUCUGCUUCCCACCCUGCCCUCUGCCGUGGCCUCAAGGUGAGCCAUCCCCCGCUGCAGAUCCCAGCUGCCCCUGUCUGGAACUGUUCCCUUCCUGUCACCUCAGCCCAGAAGGUUCCAGGGAUCCUGUUCCAAGCCUAGAUGAUGAAGCAACUGUGAUUUUUUUUCAGCUUUAAUUGAGUUUAUUGGUACAUUUUAGGGAUACAGUACAGUUACAUUC